UGUGGUAUUUUGACUAUACAAAGGUAUUGUAAUAAGAUUUUAAUUGAAUGCUAAAAGAAUGGAUUAACAGAUAAAUACUUUCUUUAAUUUAAAAAUUAAAUUUAUUAUUUUUUGUGCAGAAACAAAAAUAAAAAUUAAGGACAAGAAGACCCUAAGAAUUUUAAUUUGAUUUAAAUAAUUUAUAUUUCUUAAUCAAAUUUAAUUGGGGCGAUUGAAAAAUAUUUUUAACUUUUUUUUAAAAAAAAUAUGAACCAUUAAUAAUGGUAAUAUGAAAAAAUACUCUAGGGAUAACAGCGUAAUAAUUUUUGAUAGUUCAUAUAGACAAAAUAGUUUGCGACCUCGAUGUUGGAUUAGGAUUCUAAUUUAAUGAAGAAGUUAAAUUAAGAAGUUUGUUCAACUUUUAAAUUCCUACUUGAUCUG
rnacentral:rRNA from 1 species